GAUGAACGCUGGCGGCGUGCCUAACACAUGCAAGUCGAACGGAGUCCAGCCUUUAAGACCUUCGGGUCAAAGGGGGGAAGACUGAGUGGCGGACGGGUGAGUAACACGUGGGCAACCUGGCUCAUAGAGGGGGAUAACAGAGAGAAAUUUCUGCUAAUACCGCAUAAGCACACCCUGCCGCAUGGCAGAGGGUGAAAAGAGAAUCGCUAUGAGAUGGACCCGCGUCUGAUUAGCCAGUUGGCAGGGUAAGAGCCUACCAAAGCGACGAUCAGUAGCCGAUCUGAGAGGAUGAACGGCCACAUUGGGACUGAGACACGGCCCAAACUCCUACGGGAGGCAGCAGUGGGGGAUAUUGCACAAUGGGGGGAACCCUGAUGCAGCGACGCCGCGUGAGUGAAGAAGUAUUUCGGUAUGUAAAGCUCUAUCAGCAGGGAAGAUAAUGACAGUACCUGAAUAAGAAGCCCCGGCUAACUACGUG
rnacentral:rRNA from 1 species